UGGAAAUUAAAAGAUCUAUUACAGGUAAUUAAUUUUAAUAUUAUAUGACAUACAAAAAUACAGACAUAGCCUUAAAGGGAGCCAUGAUCACCCUUUCAUAAUACCAAAACAAUGGUUUAAUUUUACAGUCUUAAAUUGUGUUGAAUCACGAGUAUCUUCUCUGAAUGUCUUAUGCUGUUGUACAUAUUAUUAUUGCAAUUCCAGAUGCUUCACAUUCUGUCAUGAAGUUUUGCCAUCCAAUUUCCAAAAACGGAUUGUAAAAGUGUUCCACUUCACUUAGUUUCCUUCUUUUGAGUUCCAACGAGAUAAUGCCUUGAUUCUAAAUGGUUACCUACAUCCAAAAACUUUUCAAUACAUUGAUGCCUCUGUUUUCUUAUCUCUAAAAUCAAAAUCUGCCAAUCUAUUCUAUUGUUCAGUGAGGUUAUUCAAAGGACCAACAUCUUUCAUGAUUCCAGACAAUCUUGUCAUAGGGAAUAGGGCAAAUGUUUGACAAUUCACAGUAUCUGGAUCUAACCUAGUAAGCAGUGAUUUUCUUGAUUGAUAGAUAGAUCUCAG